GCGCCGCUAGCUCAACGGGUAGAGCAACCGCCUCUUAAGCGGUGGGUUCGGGGUUCGAGUCCCUGGCGGCGCA
rnacentral:tRNA from 1 species